rnacentral:rRNA from 1 species
AGAGUUUGAUCAUUGCUCAGGAUGAACGCCGGCGGCGUGCCUAACACAUGCAAGUCGAACGAACUUCCGUUAAUUGAUUAUGACGUACUUGUACUGAUUGAGAUUUUAACACGAAGUGAGUGGCGGACGGGUGAGUAACACGUGGGUAACCUGCCCAGAAGUUAGGGGAUAACACCUGGAAACAGAUGCUAAUACCGUAUAACAGAGAAAACCGCAUGGUUUUCUUUUAAAAGAUGGCUCUGCUAUCACUUUUGGAUGGACCCGCGGCGUAUUAGCUAGUUGGUGAGGUAAAGGCUCACCAAGGCAGUGAUACGUAGCCGACCUGAGAGGGUAAUCGGCCACAUUGGGACUGAGACACGGCCCAGACUCCUACGGGAGGCAGCAGUAGGGAAUCUUCCACAAUGGACGCAAGUCUGAUGGAGCAACGCCGCGUGAGUGAAGAAGGGUUUCGGCUCGUAAAGCUCUGUUGUUAAAGAAGAACGUGGGUAAGAGUAACUGUUUACCCAGUGACGGUAUUUAACCAGAAGGCCACGGCUAACUACGUGCCAGCAGCCGCGGUAAUACGUAGGUGGCAAGCGUUAUCCGGAUUUAUUGGGCGUAAAGCGAGCGCAGGCGGUCUUUUAAGUCUAAUGUGAAAGCCUUCGGCUCAACCGAAGAAGUGCAUUGGAAACUGGGAGACUUGAGUGCAGAAGAGGACAGUGGAACUCCAUGUGUAGCGGUGAAAUGCGUAGAUAUAUGGAAGAACACCAGUGGCGAAGGCGGCUGUCUGGUCUGCAACUGACGCUGAGGCUCGAAAGCAUGGGUAGCGAACAGGAUUAGAUACCCUGGUAGUCCAUGCCGUAAACGAUGAUUACUAAGUGUUGGAGGGUUUCCGCCCUUCAGUGCUGCAGCUAACGCAUUAAGUAAUCCGCCUGGGGAGUA